UGACGUCAAGUCAUCAUGCCCCUUACUGUCCAGGGCUUCACACAUGCUACAAUGGCCGAGUACAGAGGGCUGCGAGACCGUGAGGUGGAGCGAAUCCCUUAAAGCUGGUCUCAGUUCGGAUCGGGGUCUGCAACUCGACCCCGUGAAGUCGGAGUCGCUAGUAAUCGUGAAUCAGAAUGUCACGGUGAAUACGUUCCCGGGCCUU
rnacentral:rRNA from 1 species